rnacentral:rRNA from 1 species
GACGUAGGGCGCGAGCGUUGUCCGGAUUUAUUGGGCGUAAAGAGCUCGUAGGCGGCUCGUUGCGUCGGCUGUGAAAACCCGCAGCUCAACUGUGGGCUUGCAGCUGAUACGGGCGGGCUGGGAUUCGGUAGGGGAGACUGGAAUUCCUGGUGUAGCGGUGAAAUGACGCAGAUAUCAGGAGGAACACCGGUGGCGAAGGCGGGUCUCUGGGCAGUAACUGACGCUGAGGAGCGAAAGCGUGGGGAGCGAACAGG